GCGGCCGUGGUGUAACGGAAACACAGUGGCUUGUGGUGCCACAGUUGAUGGGUUCAACUCCCUCUGGUCGCC
rnacentral:tRNA from 1 species